UCCCCACACCCCUCUCUCUCUUUCUCAGACCUGUGCCCUCAGUAGGGAGAUGAUGCCUGGGGCUGCUCCCCUGGACUCUGCCCCAGGCCCCAGGCUCCUCUGUGGUGUUGUCCUGUGUCUCCUGGGAGCAAGUGUGGUGCAUGCUGGGGUCCUCCAGUCCCCCAGACACCUGAUCAAAGCCAAGGGAGGAAAGGCCACUCUGCAGUGCUCUCCUGACUCUGGACAUGAUACUGUGUACUGGUACCAGCAGGCCGAGGACCAGAGCCUCCAGUUCCUCAUUUCCUAUUUUCGAGAGUCAGAGAGAGAGAAAGGAAGCAUCCCUGGCCGCUUCUCAGCUCGGCAGUUCAGUGACUAUCACUCUGAGCUGAACAUGAGCGCCUUGGAGCUGAGGGACUCCGCGCUGUAUCUAUGUGCCAGCAGCUUGCACAGCCCUGCACAGAACUUUAGGCUCCAUCCAUAUUAUUCUUUUGGUGAAUGGGAGUCUGUGAAUGAAGAAGACAGAGAAUGUCGGUGUGAUUCUGGACACAGCAGUCAUCUAUCUUUGCUGGUCAAAAUCUCCUUCUUACUAGUAAUCAGCCUUCUUACCCUUGGGCAGAAAGCACGGAAUGGGGACAUGAGUGAUCCAGGCUCCAUGGUGGACUGA